GAGGCAUUGGGGGCGCAACGCCCUCGACCU
rnacentral:snRNA from 1 species